rnacentral:rRNA from 1 species
UGAGCAACCUGCCCCUGACCCUGGAAUAACAGCUGGAAACAGCUGCUAAUACCGGAUACGACCUCCGAUGGCAUCAUCUGGAGGUGGAAAGCUCCGACGGUCAAGGAUGGGCUCGCGGCCUAUCAGCUUGUUGGUGAGGUAACGGCUCACCAAGGCUUCGACGGGUAGCCGGCCUGAGAGGGUGACCGGCCGCACUGGGACUGAGACACGGCCCAGACUCCGUAGGAGG